CUCAAACCUUCUGAACUUCACUUGCAAAGCUUGGUUUGAAAGCUGGCUCUGCGUUAAGUACAUUGUUAGUAAUGUUGGCAGCAGUUACACUGCAAGAUACAAUCAGUUGGGCUUGACACAAAACUCACUUAAGUAUUCCUGAAGAGAAGCUGCAGAACAUGCAAGCUGUCAGAUAAAGGGAAGGUGGGAGAGGAAACUUGAAUUGAUCUUCUGUUGUAAGUGGAACUGCACUGUGGCCUAUCACCAGUUUGGCCCUAUACAGGACCCCAGUACUGAGUGAGUAAGUUUUGCCAUCCCAUGAUCCUGAGAUUGAAGAGUCUGGCAGCAAUGGAAGGUGGUUAAGAAAACGUCUGCUCCCAAAAGGACAGGAUUGCUUUUGUGUUUCACCUGAUGAUCAAACUAGAGGUCUCAGCACCUUUCAGCAAGUGGCCCAGUCUCGCCUGUGCAAGCUCACUCUGAUCUACUUGCAUUUACACACACUCUGAGGACCCAUCAGUAAUUGAGUGAGCAGUGGUGUUAUUCCAGCAGCUUUGAAGAGUGUCACCACUCUAGGUUAAGGCAUCCAAGAUGCCUUUCCAUGAAAUGCCCAGUGACACCUGUUCAAGGUGAUGACGGCUUCCAGUCACACAUCCUAGGUGAAACAAGAUUGGGUCUAGAAUGGAGUACCACCUGUAUCACCUUCAACUGAAAGGAGAGGGGUGACUAAUAUUUUUUUAAUCAGCCUGACCCAAAUAAUAGAGUAGAUGUACAAUGGUUUACAUUUAUUAAGGGGUGACAGAAGAGGCACCUGGUAUCUCAGACUGUUGUGCAUGUCAGGCUCCAAAGGAGAUGUCUAACAUAUCAGUCUAGAGAAGAGGAGGCUCAGGGGAGACCUUAUUGCUCUCUAUAACUACCUGAAGGGAGGUUGUAGUGACCUGGGGAUCAGCCUCUUCUCUCAAGUGACUAGUGAUAGGACUAGAGAGAAUGGCUUCAAGCUGCGCCAGGGAAGAUUCAGGCUGGACGUUAGGAGAUACUACUUCUCUGAAAGGGUGGUCAGGCACUGGAAUGGGCUGCCCAGAGAGGUGGUGGAGUCACCGACCCUGGUGGUGUUCAAAGAGCGUUUGGAUGUUGUGCUGAGGGACAUGGUUUAGCGAGAACCAUUGGUGAAGGGCGAAUGGUUGGACUGGAUGAUCCUGUGGGUCUUUUCCAACCUUAGUGAUUCUAUGAUUCUGUGAUUCAUUAUUCUGAAGCGUAACAUUCGACACAAUUCUCUAUGAAUUGAAAUGUCUUCACAGAUAGAUACACUUUGAUUAGCAAUUUAUUUUGAGGAUUGUAAUGUAAGCAUAUGGUUCCUUUUUUUGUCUCUGACCCUAAGAAUGCUUGAGUUUGAAAUCUGCAAAAUACUGCUUUUGGUUUAUAUCUAAGCUUAAUUUUUUUUAACAGGACAGGGUUUCUUUCUCAAUAUCCUACUGAGUAAUCUUAUGAUAUACUGAAGACUGUCUGCAAAUUGCAUGGAACCCCACCAGUAGAAGACAGUGUGUGGUGUAUUAGCGUGGAGAGUUUGCCCAUGACCUUUCUCAUCUUUCCACUAUCCAAAUUUGACAGGUACUGAGCUGGAACAACUGAAACCUUCCCAUGAUUUUGACAAAUUUAAGUUGUGCUAUGGCUGGCACUGUCCAAAAAAUUCCCAUGUCUCUGAUCUAUUUCCUGCAACUCCUGUUUGCUUGUGAGUCCUUUCUCCCUUUUUCUUCAUGCGGUCUUUUCCAGGCACUUCAGUGACUACUUAUUCCUAUGGGGCUGUUCAUAAGCUCUUAUAGGUUAUAGGGCUUAACAUGCAAGCAUCUGUGUGGAAGACAAUACAUGACUAACCAUUCAAAAGAGAGGGCUUCCAGAUACCUGACUGUCCAGGACAUGCUUUCAUUUGGUAAUGGUGAAUCAAACUGGUGAGGCCUCUCCUGGAGUACUGUAUCCAGUUCUGGGUUACCUGGUACAAAAAAGACAAGGAUCUCCUGAAGAGAGUCCAGCAGAGGGCCACAAAGAUGAUAAAGAGCCUGGAGCACCUCCCCUGUGAGGAAAAGCUGGGAGAUCUGGGUCUGUUCAGCCUCGAGAAAAGAAGACUCAGAGGUGAUCUUAGUAAUGUUUACAAAUAGUGUAGGAGUCAAAGAGAUGUGGCCAACCUCUUUUCAGUGUUCUGUGGGGACAGGACAAGGGGAAAUGGCCAUAAACUGGAGCAUAGGAAGUUCUAAAACCAGUAUGUGAAAGAACUUCUUCCUGGUGAGAGUGAUGGAGUUCUGGAAUAGGCUGCCCAGGGUGCUUGUGGAUUUUCCGUCCCUGGAGACUGUCAAGACCGAUCCAGACGCCUACUGUGCAGCCUGCUGUAGGAAGCCUGCUUUGGUGGGGGGGUUGGAAUUGAUGAUAUCUGGAGGUACUCUUCCAACCCCUACAAUUCUGUGAUUCUGUGAUAUCAUCUGAUGUGUAUGUUUUUCAGGGCAAGUAUACCACAUCUUUCUCUUCCCAUAAACUCAAGUGUACCUCAGCAGGUAGGACAGAAGGCAGAGCUCCAAGUUUGGUAACCCUGGGUUCCCAAACUACUAAUCAAGAAGCUUUGAUGAAGAACACACUUGCAACUGCAGCUGAUCAUCAAGUGGAAAUUAAUUUGUGAAUGACUGAAGGCAGCAGCAAUUUAGAGGCGCAGCAACUGAGAGAUAAGUGCCAGCACAUCUACCCGCACAAUACCUUUUCUCUGAGUAGGCUUCUGUUUUCUCUUACAGUAUUCUUUGAACUGGCUUGUAGGGCCAUACUUGUCAAUUAUUUCAAUAGUCAAAUGGAUGAUAACUUCUGUUACCAACUAUUUAUAUUAUCAGUUUUCAUCCUUGAGAAUAAAUGAGCUGCAUAUAUCUGCAGGGGCAAUGCAUGUGUGCCUAUGUCUAUCUAAUGAGUACGCAGAGUAGAAAAUUGCACAAACUGUUGCUGUUCUCUUGCUAUCCAAUGUAAUUUAUAUUUGAAUUAUAAUGAACUCACAGCUAAAGCUGAAUCAAAACAUUAUGAAAUGAGUCAAAUUGUUCAUGUGCCAGUUUGUAGUUCUAUGCUGCAAGGUUUUAUUACUAUUCUAGGGUAGCUCACCAAAAAGUAGACUCAUCUGUGCUCACAUUAUGUGCUAAAAUUAGCAAACGCUCAUUCUUAGUGUCAAAUGAAGGAAACAGAAUUUCAUGGAAAAGAUUUAUUGAAGUGCAGAUCAGUUCUCUGUUACUGAUGCUUCAGUCCACACGAUCACUCCAGCAGUAGCAUUUCUUGGUUGCGCAGUGUUACUUGAGCUGCUACCUUGAGCUUCUCCCCAUUAGAUAAAGGAUCUGCUUAAACAGUAUAUAUCACAUGGGAUUCAGUGCUGGGCAGUUAUAGCAGGUAUUAUCAUCUUUCAUGUUUGGGGUGGCAUAAUUAACAUUAAAGAUGAAGUGUAACUUAAAAUUAGCAUUAAUUUUUUCAAAGUAAGUUUAGAAAAACUAGCUGAAAUGAUAAUUCCAGGAAGGAAUGAUGUGUAACUCUAUGAGAUACACAUAGAACGUAUAUUUGUAUAUGUGUAUUUAACAUGUUGUCUCUAUUAAAUAGAUACUAAUAUAUUAAUUAAAACAUAGUGAGUAUGUUUGCAUGUAUACCAGUAAGCUUAUUAUAUCCUUAUCUGUAGACCAUAUUUUAAGCUUUAUUGAAAGGAAACAACCUCUGUGUUUAUCUUUUCAGCUGUCUCCUCUUUGAACCUGGAAGUGAAUUUGAAUGUUACAUGUGACUUGUCUAGCAUUAUCGCUGAGUACGGUAUCUUCCAUCAAAGCCAAGGCUGGUGGCAGUAGUUCAUGCUUCCCUGAGUAGCUCUGCUCACUGUGCUACAGCUCUACCGCUGGGGGUGAAAUGACUUUAACCCUUAAAAUAAACUUAAAUAAAAUUUCGUAGGACUCGGG
ensembl:lncRNA